rnacentral:tRNA from 1 species
GUAGACAUGGUUUAACCUAAAAUAUUAGAUUGUGAUUCUAAAGAUAGGGGUUGAAACCCCCUUGUUUACC